UGGCCAUCUGCCGGUCUUCGUCUGCGGUGU
rnacentral:piRNA from 1 species